rnacentral:misc_RNA from 1 species
CCGUGGCUCAGUUCAGAUCGUAGGCUGCAACUCGCCUACGUGAAGUAGGAAUCGCUAGUAAUCGCAGGUCAGCAUACUGCGGUGAAUACGUUCCCGGGCCUUGUACACACCGCCCGUCACACCAUGGAAGUUGGCCAUGCCCGAAGUCGUUACUCCAACCCUUGUGGAGGAGGACGCCGAAGGUGGGGCUAAUGACUGGGGUGAAGUCGUAACAAGGUAGCCGUACCGGAAGGUGCGGCUGGAUCACCUCCUAACAGGGAGACAACAAAAUGUUUAAUAUUAUUAUUUUGUCACCUUAGGUCGAUCGGUAUCUCAGGUUCUUAAUUAAUUAAGGAUUUCAUUUCCUAAGUUUUUCUAGGUCACACCCAUAUUUUUCCUGGGCCAUUAGCUCAGGUGGUUAGAGCGCACCCCUGAUAAGGGUGAGGUCCCUGGUUCAAGUCCAGGAUGGCCCAUAUCUCUAUGUUGGGGGUAUAGCUCAGUUGGUAGAGCGCCUGCUUUGCAAGCAGGAUGUCAGCGGUUCGAGUCCGCUUACCUCCACUGAUUACCACCUCUUCCAUAAUCUGUAGAAAGGAAAUGUUUUGAGUUGUGAUCUAAUUCUGAACGAAUCUAGCUUCCUAAUGAAAUCAUUAAGAUGCUGGACUCAUUGAAUUAAUUUCAUUGUUUUCAGAGAACCUUGACAACUGCAUAGAUUAUUUUUAAAGACAAUAAGCAUCUUUAAUGAUGCAGAUUUAUUAUUUGUGCAAAUGCAUUAAUAACAAUUCUAUUAAGCUGAUGCUUCAAUUUUGAAGUUAUUGGUCAAGCUACAAAGGGCUCACGGAGGAUACCUAGGCACACAGAGGCGAUGAAGGACGUGGUUACCUGCGAUAAGUCUCGGGGAGU